UCCAGGCCCUACGGGGCGCAGCAGCGCAGCGARACCUUUACACUGUACGAGAGUGCGAUAAGGGGAUCCCAAGUGCCCGCGCCUAGCGUGGGCUUUUCUGAACCGUAAAAUGGUUCAGGAAUAAGGGCUGGGAAAGACCGGUGCCAGCCGCCGCGGUAACACCGGCAGCUCAAGUGAUGGCCGAUAUUAUUGGGCCUAAAGCGUCCGUAGCCUGCCGUACGGGUCCGUCGGGAAAUCCGCCCGCUCAACGGGCGGACGUCCGGCGGAAACCAUACGGCUUGGGACCAGAGGACCCGAGGGGUACGUCGGGGGUAGGAGUGAAAUCCCGAGAUCCUCGACGGACCGCCGGUGGCGAAAGCGCCUCGGGAAGAUGGAUCCGACGGUCAGGGACGAAAGCUUGGGUCUCGAACCGGAUUAGAUACCCGGGUAGUCCAAGCUGUAAACGAUGUUCGCUAGGUGUGGCGUAGGCUACGAGCCUGCGCUGUGCCAAAGGGAAGCCACGAAGCGAACCGCCUGGGAAGUACGUCUGCAAGGAUGAAACUUAAAGGAAUUGGCGGGGGAGCACUACAAACGGGAGGAGCCUGUGGUUUAAUUGGAUUCACGCCCGGGA
rnacentral:rRNA from 1 species